rnacentral:rRNA from 1 species
GCGGAAGAUCAAGUCAGCGGUAAAAUUGAGAGGCUCAACCUCUUCGAGCCGUUGAAACUGGUUUUCUUGAGUGAGCGAGAAGUAUGCGGAAUGCGUGGUGUAGCGGUGAAAUGCAUAGAUAUCACGCAGAACUCCGAUUGCGAAGGCAGCAUACCGGCGCUCAACUGACGCUCAUGCACGAAAGUGUGGGUAUCGAACAGGAUUAGAUACCCUGGUAGUCCACACAGUAAACGAUGAAUACUAAUUGUUCGGGGAGAAUGAUCCCUGAGUGAUACAGCGAAAGCGUUAAGUAUUCCACCUGGGGAGUACGCCGGCAACGGUGAAACUCAAAGGAAUUGACGGGGGCCCGCACAAGCGGAGGAACAUGUGGUUUAAUUCGAUGAUACACGAGGAACCUUACCCGGGCUCAAACGACACAGGAAUACUUUUGAAAGGAGGUAGCUCUACGGAGUCUGUGUCGAGGUGCUGCAUGGUUGUCGUCAGCUCGUGCCGUGAGGUGUCGGCUUAAGUGCCAUAACGAGCGCAACCCCCAUCGCCAGUUACCAGCAAGUCAAGUUGGGGACUCUGGCGAGACUGCCGGCGCAAGCUGUGAGGAAGGCGGGGAUGACGUCAAAUCAGCACGGCCCUUACGUCCGGGGCGACACACGUGUUACAAUGGCAGGGACAGCGGGAAGCCACCAAGCGAUUGGGCGCGGAACCCGAAACCCUGUCUCAGUUCGGAUUGGAGUCUGCAACUCGACUCCAUGAAGCUGGAUUCGCUAGUAAUCGCGCAUCAGCCAUGGCGCGGUGAAUACGUUCCCGGGCCUUGUACACACCGCCCGUCAAGCCAUGGAAGCCGGGAGUGCCUGAAGUGUGCAACCGCAAGGAGCGCCCUAAGGUAAAACUGGUGACUGGGGCUAAGUCGUAACAAGGUAGCCGUAA